rnacentral:rRNA from 1 species
UAGGGAAUUUUCGUCAAUGGGGGAGCCCUGAACGAGCAAUGCCGCGUGUGUGAAGAAGGUCUUCGGAUCGUAAAGCACUGUUGUAAGUGAAGAAUGCCAUAUAGAGGAAAUGCUAUGUGGGUGACGGUAGCUUACCAGAAAGCCACGGCUAACUACGUGCCAGCAGCCGCGGUAAUACGUAGGUGGCAAGCGUUAUCCGGAAUCAUUGGGCGUAAAGGGUGCGUAGGUGGCACGAUAAGUCUGAAGUAAAAGGCAAACAGCUCAACUGUUGUAUGCUUUGGAAACUGUCGAGCUAGAGUGCAGAAGAGGGCGAUGGAAUUCCAUGUGUAGCGGUAAAAAUGCGUAGAUAUAUGGAGGAACACCAGUGGCGAAGGCGGUCGCCUGGUCUGUAACUGACACUGAUGCACGAAAGCGUGGGGAGCAAAUAGGAUUAGAUACC